AAAGAGCUUAACCUGAGAAAGCACAGUGGCAUGGAACAGGACUGCUUGAUUGGUCAUAUUAGAGAGUGAGGCCUAGUGGUGCUGGCGCUGCACAGAGCAGAGCAGACAGACUCAGCUGUCACACGUGAAAUAAAUAAAUAAAAACAUGCUGAGAGAAGAUACAUAACCAGCAAGCAGUACAUAGGAGAGUGCAAGCAAAUCUCAGGGAAUCCUGGCUGCGAGACUCUUUUGGAACCAGUGGAGCUGCCAAGCUUGUGUGAUCACUUUUCUUUCUGCAGCUGCUGUGGUGGGAAGCUUAGAAAUAUUUAAGGCACUGGUAUAAAUGUAUUGAUACAAGUGACUACAG
rnacentral:lncRNA from 1 species